rnacentral:rRNA from 1 species
CUGGUAAGACCCCUCAUAGACGAUGAGGUUGAUAGGUUCGGUGUGGAAGCGCGGUAACGCGUGGAGCUGACGAAUACUAAUCGGUCGAGGGCUUAUCCACAA